CCAACCCAACCCCAUGCACAGCCGGUAAACAUUGUAACGACAACAGUAGAGUACCACGCCACAGCUCCCUUCCUCUUAGUUGCCAUCCAUCUGCGCGCGCAAUAGCGAUCACGGAAAAACCUCUCCAUCACUUACCGAGAUCUCGGUGAUGAUGGCGUCUUCCUCGUGUCUCGAUAUCGGGUCGGUCGCUGUGUGUAGGGGUAAUUUGUGUGUGUCGCUCUCUCUCUCUUCUUCUUAUCUCCCCUGUCUCUCUCUUAAGGACGAGGUGAAAUCCGUGCUCUGGUCAUCCGGUGGCUUCACAGACAAAACCAACACGCAGCGGCAAGAACAAUAUACAAAAGGCAAGGAAGGGACAGAGGGGAGGAGAAGUCAAUUUGUUGAGUGGCACUGAGACAAAAAAAUAACUGUCACCUAUGGAGGCGGGUUAAAACUGGAGAUAGUUUAUAUAAUACUGGCCAAGGCUAUAAGUCAAACUGUAGGCUAGAACAACAGUUUUAGAUUGUCUCUGCGUGCGUUCUCAGCUAAAAGGUGUGUUUUCCUGCGCACUGUAGCCUACCUUGUUAAUGCCACAGUAUUGUGCAGAAGAGGCUAUGGGUGAUAGGCAGCAGAGCAUAGAAAAUGUGCUUCUAAUGUUGUCAAAAACUCAAAUGUUCGUUCCUGUCCAAUUCGCUUUCACGGUUCAAGAGAUGGGCCUUUUACGUCGCAAUUCUGUAACACAAGGAGCAAAGCACAACUGGGAGGAACUUUUCUAUUCCAAAGUUAGCCCAUAUGAGAGAAUUUCCCUCACUGCUCUGAGAAGUUGGAGAGAAGGGGGUGCAAAUGUGUAAAGUAACGGGAUGUCUAAAUGGAGUGACCGCAAUAAGUCAGGUUUGACACACGUUAUUAUUUAUCCUGAGCUGCACUGCACUAGCAGCUCAUCAGAGCACCGUCCGCCCUGGCUAGCCCCUAGGUGCGGCUCACCGCUGCGCAUGUGCACCAAGGCGCUGACCAAAUGUCAAGAGCAAUAAGUGGGGUUGUCAUCUCGAAUUUUCUCUGCUCCCAAUGAACUCCUCAGGAGCUGCAUCUCUCUCUCUCUCUCUCUCUCUCUCUCUCUCUCUCUUUUACCCCAGGAAUAAGCGGUCGCUUAGGGCCCCCAGCUACUAGCUGGCUGACCCCAAAAAAUAGGAUCUCAGUCGGGGGUCAAUUAGCCCAUGUCAUCUAACAUGUUUUAUAUGGGUAAAUUAAUCUACCCAGCUAUCUAAACUGGUAGUAAUCAUGGUCGAAUUAUGACCGGGCACAAAGGGCACAUGCCCAGGGGUCCCCCAUUGAUUUUGUUAGUUACUCUAGCUCAGAUAUCAUAUUAACAUGACAUAAGUCAUGGCAAAAUGGGUACAAUAACAGGAAAUUAGCUUUAAAACUGAAAAAAUGUCUCCACCCUAUGGCAAAAUGUGUAAAAUUGCAGCAAACUUUCUUUAAAACUGCAAUAUUUGUUUAUCUCCGCCAUCAAGCUAGGGGGCCCACUAAAAUGUUUUGCCCUGGAAGGCCAAACAAAAUAUUGCUUAGGCCCCGCAAAAAGCGAGGGUAUGCCCUGAGAGAACAGUCAGUUGUUUUGUUGGUGCCCAGGUGUUAUUCACCGUUGGCGCACUUCUCCCCGAUAAUGAGCCGGUGUUUCCCGCCACUCCACUGAGCGUUCUAAUUCACCUGUCACAUCUGCAGAGCCUCUUCCGUUUGCCACGCAACGGUGCCUGCCUGCUCAGAUGUCUCCAUUACACAACUGUGUGUGUGUGGGGGGGGGUUCUCCUUGCACGUUGUAUGUAGUUUAAAUAUAUAAAUAGCCUAAUAAGCUACCGCCUACACUUGUUACCACUACUUUUGGAUAGUGGGUUAAUGUCCAAAAACCUACAAAGAAGAUAACUGUUAUUGUUGAAUUGCUAUGUGUAGCCUGGGUAGACCUACCAGUCGUUUUAGCUAGCAUUCCACGGAGUUACAAGGAGUGGAAUGUUAGCUAAAAAAGACUGCUACCCAAGACUAGUGUAAGAGCACAAGGCUAUAUCUCACUUUCAAGAAAGAAUUCUGAACACACAUCAUUUUCAAUAGCUGCCUUUGAAGUUUUAUAGGCAAUUUCUUUGGACAUUGUAGUUAUGAUCUUUGGCCUUUUUCAGAUGUUUCAUGUAAUAAUUAAUUGUAGCCCACAACUGAAGAAUCCCAUUUCAUGGAACUUCUGGACUUUAUUGAAUAAAGUAAAACAGUUAUUUUAGGCCUACAUAUUGUUGUUUAAAAGAAACCCUUCUUCUCCUCCAGAUGUCUACCCCUGGCCCUUGCAGCUUCUCUUUGAUAUUGUUCAACUGACACACACACACACACGCACCACCCUGGGCAGAACAUGUUUCUCUCACAACUUUGACAUGGGGCUGUCUUUUAUCCUCCAUGUUUCCCAGCGUCUCUGUGCUCCUCCAGAUCCCCCGGGUUCCGCUGCUACCCACCCCAGCCAAAUGACACCCCGCUGGGGCUACAGCAGAGGUCUCUCCCCGAACAGACGGCUCUACAUCCACAGAGGUGUUCAUGGAAUGCAUAGGUCUAAUUGGGCUCCUGAGUGGCACAGCGGUCAAAGGCACUGCAUCUCCGUGCUUGAUGCGUCACUACAGCCACCCAGGUUCGAUUCCAGGCUGUAUCACAUCUGGCCGUGAUCGGGAGUCCUAUAGCAUCGUCCGGGGUAGACCUUCAUUGUGAAUAGGAAUUUGUUCUUAACUGACUUGCCUAGUUAAAUAAAGGUUAAAAAAAUG